GCUGGUUGUGGUGGCAUGCACCUGUAGUCCCAAGCUACUUGGGAGGCUGAGGCAGGAGGAAUUGCUUGAGCCUUGGAGUUUGAGGCCAUCCUGGACAACAUAGUAAGACCCUGUUUCCA
rnacentral:sRNA from 1 species